UCCCUGCACCAGAUUACAAAAACAACAUCCUGAAGGAGAGGGCUGAGCUGGCUCACUGCCCUCCGCCCGCCAAGCACAUCGACUUGGACAAAGAGUUCAGGAAGGAGUACUGCAAGUAAGGGGAUCGGGGCUCCUGGCUGGCCAGCAGCUCUCCCACCCCCCGUCUGUCCGUCUCGGAGCACAUCUUCCUGACUGACCCUCCUGCAGCUCACCUGGUCCCCUUCCAGCGGCUGGUCCCGCUGUCCUGGAACUUGGCCCGGACUGGUGCAGAGUGGGCGGCCUGCAGAGCCCUCUCCUGGGAGCCACCCUCAUUCUCAAAAGUAACAGUGGGCUCCUUGGGACCCUGCCUGUUCUGCGGCUGUACCCAGGCCCUCAGCAGCCCCUCUGCAGGCGCUCACUGCUGGCCCUGCCCCCCUCUGGCACAGCUGAGCCCUCACUGAUGUUCACCAAGCCCUCAGGCUCUCCAGGCCUCUGCCCUCCGGAGGAGCCCAGCCUCUGCAGGGGAGCUCAGCACAAGUCUUGGAGCUAGGGUCAGCCUCAGGGCCGGCGCUGCUCCUUCUCCACGGCUUCCUGGGGGGAGCGGCCCGCUGGCUCCCAGACUGCACUGUGCCUUACCCAGCCAGGCCGCCAUCGGCUCUGCACAGGGACCUGAGGACUGCACACUGCUGGCCCUGGGCUGAUGCCCCUCUGUGGUGCCUCUGGCCACCUGGGGCUGCCCUGGGCCCUUUCUCUGCUUUCCACCCUGCUCCAGCCUCCUUUGCAAUAAGCUGCCUUGACAGUCACUGGGCUCCAGGUGACUUUUGGCCCCUCCCUGGGCUGGAGUCUGGGGCUGGGGCAUCAUUUGGCUUCUGUUUUGUUUGAGGACCUGGGAGGGGUGAAGAUGGCUCUAGAGUGGCCUGUGCGGCCACUCCUGACACCCACAUUUGCUCCUCUUGGGGGAUUGCCACCAUCACAAUAAAGACCUUUCUGAUUUAUAGACUUGGCCCCCGAUAUGCCUCUGCUGCCCCCCUCCACCUCCCAGGGGGCAGAGUCUGGGCCUUGGAAUCCCCAGACUCAAGAUGAAUUUCCUUCAUCUAAAGUCCCACGAUCAUCACACAUGAGUGGAAGGUCUGGGAGGGUGUCCUGGGAAGGGGGACCUCAGGAUUCUGCAGCACUGAUGCCUGGUGGGGACGGAGUUUGUGGUCAGCUCCUGAGGGUUUAUUUGAAUGUGGGGGAGGGGAGCAUGCUGGUGGACGUGAGGACGGGGUGGUGUUAGUUCAGUCCUCUGAGAAGCAGAUGGGACUGGAUGUGUGAGGAUGCAGGUGGAUGGAGGGGGCAGGAGGAGGCAGGGCACCUGCAGACAGGGUGCAGGUGUGACACUCCUGGGGGGAGGGGCUACAGUAGGAAGGAGCCUGUUUCCCCAAUCCUGACCCCAUCCUCCAAAGCCCUCCCAGGACACCAGGGAGCUGGAAAGCCCCGAUGGUCACCUAGGGUUGGAAAACCUCCGAGCUGGUGUGUUAAGAACCUGACCAGUUGAAUGAGGGGGCAGGAGCCACCCACGCAGUUGGGCAUACGAGCUCCCACUAGGGAAAUGAAAGCUCUGGGGCUGUUUUCAUGAAGAUGCAGUGUCAAUAAACUCACACAAAGGAAA